GGGAACUGAAAGGACCGACCUUCGGGAGCCUAUACAGGUGUUGCAUGGCUGUCGUCAGCUCGUGUCGUGAGAUGUUCGGUUAAGUCCGCUAACGAGCGCAACCCUCGUCGUAUGUUAUAUGUGUCAUACGAGACUGCCGGUAAAAAGCCGGAGGAAGGUGAGGAUGAUGUCAAGUCAGCAUGACCUUUAUAUCCAGGGCUACACACACGCUACAAUGGUCUGUACAAUGGGUAGCCAAGCCGCGAGGCGGAGCCAAUCCUGAAAGCAGGCCUCAGUUCAGAUUGCAGUCUGCAACUCGACUGCAUGAAGCCGGAGUUGCUAGUAACCGCAGGUCAGCAAUACUGCGGUGAAUACGUUCCCGGGUCUU
rnacentral:rRNA from 1 species